UAGAAUUCUGGGUCUGUGGGCUCCAAAAAUCCAAAUAUUUCAGAAGAAAAACUCCACAGUACAGGCAAAGUAUUGAUCUGAAUAACUGUCAAAGGGUUUCAUCACGCCAACCCCCCCUGACUUCUGUGAGGACCCAGAACUACAGCCCUUUGUCACAUAUCUCGUGGGUGACAUCCCUUCCCACGCCAGAGGGCAGCUGAGGCGGGAGGUGAGGAGAGACACAGGCCCCUUUUUCCCCCCACGGUUGUUCACUAAACAUUUGGAGCCAAGGAAGCUUCUCUUUGCUCCAGAACUGGCUGCAGACUCCAACGAUCAGCACUCCAGAUUGUUCCCAGCACCAUCACCAGGAAUCCUUACUGCCCUGGAAGGCAGAAGGAACCUGCCUGUAAA